rnacentral:rRNA from 1 species
UACGUAGGAGGCAAGCGUUGUCCGGAUUUACUGGGCGUAAAGAGCGUGUAGGCGGUAGCGCAAGUCUGCUGUGAAAUCUCCUAGCUCAACUAGGAUAGGUCAGUGGAAACUGCGCGACUUGAGGACGGGUAGAGGGGGGUGGAAUUCCCGGUGUAGUGGUGAAAUGCGUAGAGAUCGGGAGGAACGACCAGCGGCGAAGGCGGCCCCCUGGGCCGCUCCUGACGCUGAGACGCGAAGGCCAGGGUAGCGAACGGG